rnacentral:tRNA from 1 species
UAAUGGGGCAGCCUACUGGUUAGGGCUUUGGGCUUGUAACCAAAGGGUUGCCGGUUCGAUCCCUGACCAGUAG